CCUACGGGUGGCUGCAGUGGGGAAUAUUGGGCAAUGGGCGCAAGCCUGACCCAGCCAUUCCGCGUGAGGGACGAAGGUUCAUAGAAUUGUAAACCUCUUUUAUCUGGGGAUAAGGUUACCAUAACUUGGUAAUUUGAAGGUACCAGAGGAAUAAGCACCGGCAAACUACGUGCCAGCAGCCGCGGUAAUACGUAGGGUGCAAGCGUUGUCCGGAUUUACUGGGUUUAAAGGGUGCGUAGGCGGUCUGAUAAGUCGAUGAUGAAAUGCAGGUGCUC
rnacentral:rRNA from 1 species